CAAUAGCGUAUAUUAAAGUUGUUGCGGUUAAAAAGCUCGUAGUUGGAUUUCUGCUGAGAACGACCGGUCCGCCCUUUGGGUGUGUAUCUGGCUCUUUCUUGGCAUCUUCUUGGUGAACGUUGCUGCACUUGACUGUGUGGAGCGCUACCCAGGACUUUUACUUUGAGGAAAUUAGAGUGUUUCAAGCAGGCAUACGCCUUGAAUACAUUAGCAUGGAAUAAUAAGAUAGGACCUCGGUUCUAUUUUGUUGGUUUCUAGAGCUGAGGUAAUGAUUAAUAGGGAUAGUUGGGGGCAUUCGUAUUUAAUUGUCAGAGGUGAAAUUCUUGGAUUUAUGAAAGACUAACAUCUGCGAAAGCAUUUGCCAAGGAUGUUUUCAUUGA
rnacentral:rRNA from 1 species